AGGUCAGGCCCAGGGGAUUGGGUGUCAGAGUUUGGGCGCCUGGAGACCAGCCCCCAGCCUGCCAGCACUGCCUAUAAUUAGCUGGGCUCGGUCAGGGACGGGGCCCUGGGGGCGCGUUCCCUCCUGCCACGCUGUCAGGAGUAGAGCAGGCUCAAGUGAGAGGGCAAGCGCAACGCUGGUGUCUUCGGAGGGUGACUACUGGCAUGGUGGCAAGACGGGCGGGGUACAGUUCCGGCAAUCCAGUGAGCUUGGGCCCAUGAGCGUCUCGGACUCGGCACAUCGUCCCUCAGACCCUGAACAAGUCUCUCUUCCGGUCCGGAAGGACGGCCUUGGCCUCCCUUUGGCCACCAGGAGAACCCCCUCCUGGCCUCCGUCCCCGGACGAGGAUCCUGGUUUGCCCCCCUUUCCUCUGGAAGAGCCUGGCCCCAGGCCCAUGGCCCCGGGGAGCCUUCCCUCUCCAGCCUUGUCCCUAGACAAAGAAGAGGAGGAGGAAGAGGAUGAGGACGGAGAAGACGCGGAGGAGCCCGAGGAGCUGCGCAGCGAGGCGCAUCCCAGCCAGUUUUUCGCGGAGGCACAGCGGCUGCGAGAGCAGAGGUUGUUGCUGGAUGAAGACGUGUCAGUCGGGGGGCGAGUAUACGGGGUGCAUCGGGUGAUCUUGGCCGCAGUCAGCAGCCUCUUCAGAGGCAGGCUGCUGGGCAGCAGAGGUCUGCAACGCCCCCUCAGCCUGGAUGUAACCCCCGGGGCCUGGGAGGCCGUGCUGACCUUUGCCUAUGAGGGGGUGCUGGGACCCGCCCCACGGGGGGAUGUGCUGGUGGCGGCUGAAGCCCUGGGAGCACCCCGGGUGAAGGCUGCGGCCCAGUGGGGACGCGAGGGGGCUGGAAGCACCCGGGAAGAUGAAAAGCAGCCCAGCCAGGCAGAGGAACUGAGAGAGAACCUGCGCACCAUGGAACUCCUGUACCAAGAAGGCAUCGGGUGUGACCUGGAGCUGGAGGCAGACGGCUGCCGGCUGCGGGGACACAGGAAAAGCCAGAGGAACACAGUGGAAAAAUUCAGUGGGUCCUUUCCCCUAAGUGAGCUUGACACCAUGGCAGACGUGGACCCUACAGCUAGUGAGCAAGUGCACCGAGCAGCCCUUGCCUGUGGCAGUGAGUUCUUUGGGGCCAUGCUCCUGAGCGGGAUGAGGGAAUCCCAGGGCACAGAGGUGUCUCUGCAUACCAUCUCUGCCCAGGACCUGCGACUCCUUGUCUCCUUUGCCUACUCUGGGGUUGUACGGGCAAGGUGGCCAGGACUGCUGAGAGCCGCCCAGGCUGCUCUGCGGUACCAGAGCUCUUCCUGCCUGGCUCUGUGCCAGAGAGCCUUGGCACAAGGCCUCAACCCUGCCCGUUGCCUGGCCCUGAUCCUCAUGGCUGAAGCCCCUGGGCUGGAGAGGCUCUGGAGCAAAGCCCGUCACUACCUCCUCACCCACCUGCCUGCUGUGGCUUUGUGUUCCGCUUUCCCAUCUUUACCGGUCGCCUGCCUGGCUGAGCUCCUGGACAGCGAUGAGCUACACUUGCAGGAGGAGUUCGAGGCCUUUGCGGCUGCACGGCGUUGGCUAGCUGCCAACCCUGACACCCAGGAGUCAGAGGCCAAGGCCCUGCUUCGAUGCGUCCGCUUUGGCCGUAUGUCCACCAGGGAGCUGCGGAGGGUACGCGCGGCCGGGCUGCCUCCACCCUUGAGCCCGGACUUGCUGCGUCAGCUGAUGGUGGAGGCUGAGGUUCCAGGACAAGGGAGACGGAGGGAGCCUGACCAGGCACUAGUAGUGAUUGGCGGGGACGGGCUCAGAUCAGACAUGGCCAUGAGACAGCCGUCCCGAGGAGUGUGGUGGGCCCGGGCCUUUCGCUGCGGCGUAGGACUGGUUCGAACUGUGGAGUGGGGACGGCUGCCUGCCCUGCCUGCCCCCGGGCGCUUUCGGCACGGGGCGGCGAGCCUAGCCGGAAGUGAGCUCUACGUGUGUGGCGGACAGGAUUUCUACGGCCACUCUAACACCCUGGCUUCGACUCUCAGGUGGGACCCCAGGCAAGAGGACUGGGAGGAGAUGGCACCUUUGUGCCAGGCUCGGAGCUUUUUCCCCCUGGUGGCGCUGGAUGGACUGCUUUAUGCCCUGGGUGGACGAGACAGUGGUGUUGCCCUCAGCUCUGUGGAGACUUAUAGCCCCAAGCUCAAUAUCUGGAGGCCGGCACCUGCUCUUCCAGCACCACGCUUUGCCCACGCAGCUGCUGUUUUGGAGGGCCAGCUGUACGUAAGCGGCGGCUGCAGCGGGACUGGCCAGUACCUGGCCUCGUUGCUGCACUAUGACCCCAAGCUUGAGAAGCCGGGGACACUUCUGAGCCCUAUGGGGCACAGUGCUUUACAACUCACACAGCGCUUUUGUAUAUAUGAUCUGCAUUGAGGAAAAGCUGGUUCUGGAAUUCCUAGGGAAAGAGCGUUGGGGAAGGAGAGGCAGCUGAAUACCUAGUUAUUAAUUAUCUACUGUGUGCCGAGUACGAUGUGAGGCACUAAGGAUCCCAAGGAACAUAGUUGAAAAUGAGGAGGGGUAAGUAGGCUAUAUAAGAGAACAGAGAAGAAAGAUUGAAGAAGACAGGGAAGAAGGAAAUCGGAAGCACUGAGAAACUACGAGGAUUGAGUCUUUAGGGUGAAGUUCUGUGAACACGCUCUGUGAUUUGUAUGCAAAGACAGGCUUAAAUAAAGGUUUCACCAUGACUGAAUCAUUCUUGUCUAAGUUUCUCUAUUGUAAAAAACAUUCAAUAUCCCUUGUAAUUUGGUUUCUGUCUCCACCACACUACUGAAACCAUCCUCCUUCAUUGUCACCAUGACCUACUUCUCACCAAAUCAAACAAUCUAAGGCCAUCCUCAUUUUCCUUCAUCUUUCUACAGGAAUUGGCUGGCUUGAAAAUUGGCUUUUACCCUAAAAAUUUCUCCUUCCCUGGCUCCAGAGAUAGCACACUUUCCUACUCUUCUUACUUCUCCAAUCCAAAGAGGUGGCAGAAAGUCAAAUCAUAGUGUCCAAGAGGGGGUGGUGCCAUCCCAGGCAGAGCUGACAGCCAAAGGUCCAAAAUUAUGUAGAUGGGGGAGUUAGCUGCAGAAGGCUCUAGCUUUCAUUACUUAUUUUUUUUGUUUGUUUUUUGUUUUUGGCUGCACUCCAUGGCAUGCGAAACCCGUGCCCCCUGCCAGGGAAGCACGGA